GGCUACACACGUGCUACAAUGGGUAGUACAGAGAGUCGCAAAGCCGCGAGGUGGAGCUAAUCUCAGAAAACUAUUCUUAGUUCGGAUUGUACUCUGCAACUCGAGUACAUGAAGUUGGAAUCGCUAGUAAUCGCGAAUCAGCAAUGUCGCGGUGAAUACGUUCUCGGGUCUUGUACACACCGCCCGUCACACCACGAGAGUUGGUUGCACCUGAAGUAGCAGGCCUAACCGUAAGGGGGGAUGCUCCGAGGGUGUGAUUAGCGAUUGGGGUGAAGUCGUAACAAGGUAUCCGUACGGGAACGU
rnacentral:rRNA from 1 species